UACAGAGGUCUCAAGCGUUGUUCGGAUUCAUUGGGCGUAAAGGGUGCGUAGGCGGCGCGGUAAGUCGGGUGUGAAAUCUCGGGGCUUAACCUCAGAAUUGCAUUCGAUACUGCCGUGCUUGAGGACUGGAGAGGAGACUGGAAUUUACGGUGUAGCGGUGAAAUGCGUAGAUAUCGUAAGGAAGACCAGUGGCGAAGGCGGGUCUCUGGACAGUUCCUGACGCUGAGGCACGAAGGUCAGGGGAGCAAACGGG
rnacentral:rRNA from 1 species